GCCGCGCGCCUAACUCGAACUUGUCGCUCCAGAUUUUAUUGGGAAGCGUAGUAUUUUUCGUUAGUAUAGGAAAUGCAUAUCUCUUCUCUUCCUGUGCGCGAUUAUUACGAUUGACAGGAACUAUGAUAGACUACGCUAACGCAAUGUCGCUGACAAAAUAAUGGAAAAUGUGAGCAAAACGAUUUACGAUAUAAACGAGGGGCUGAUAGCUUUGCGUUCCGAAAUACGAAAGGUUAACGGUAGGAUGGAUAAACAUCGGCACGCCGUUAUUUGCGGUCUGUUAUUGGGCAAUUUGGUUAAACUCGAUAACAUUAAAAGAAGCGCCGGUAGCGUAAUGGCUCAACGAGAGGCUGACGUUGUUAUUAAUUAUGCUAAGUAUCUUAAAACGCUCAUUGACGAAAAGAAGACUGAAUAGACUUAGACCAAAUAGGAGUACCUAUACAUGAGAGUCCAUUUUUUAUAAACAGACCGAUCCAGUGUCAUCCUCCUAUCUGUGUAUGUGGUUUUAACAUUUCCUUCCUGCGAACAAAAACUGUGGUGUGAGAGUGAGAUACCCUCUUGACUUUAUACACGCGAGCACAGUGCACGAAUAUCUAAUUGUCCCGAAAGAAUUCGGUUCCGGUUCCAUUAGAAAAAAAGUUAUUGCACAGGUUCUCGAGAAGGAAGAUAAUCGUCGGCUUCUUUAUUUUGACGCUGCAAAAUUUCUUGACUGGAAGUAAAUUUGAAUGAUUUUGAUUUAUAGGAGAACUUGCAGAUCUCCCCUACUAAUUUUAACAUGGGAAUUGUUUAUGGUUUCGUAGGUAUAUCGUACCAGAGCCGUCCUUAUAGGGUGGAGCGAGUGGAGCGGCCGCUCCAGGCCUCGCCCUUAGGAAAAGGCCUCGCGCAAAGCCUAAACUCGCGCCAAAAAAUAAGUAAAAGUUUUGGUUGAAUGAAAAUAAUAUAAUUAUGUACAGAUAUGCGUGACUAAAAUAUGCAGGGUGUUCAUUUGAAAAUAUUCCACCAUAUAUAUUUAUCGAAAACCACUGAUUAAAGGAAAAAACGCCGAAACACGUAAAAAAAUGUGUCUUGUUAAGGGGGACAACCUUUUAACCAAAAACUACUUCAUCCCCUUUCACCCUCUGCCCCCCAGGGCUAUCCCUUAAAAAUUUUAAAUGAUAAGUGGUAUCGAGUAAUAGCAAACAGGGGUACUUUUUGGUAAUAGCUUGUUUGAAAGGUCUUUCGAAGUCCUUUAUUUUGACGUUUGAUUUUUAAAAUCGCUAGAUUCGUUUUCGAGAAAAUUAGAACAAUUUCCACUCUUUCGGCUAGUGUCAACCAUUUUGGCAGUAAAAUCUGAAUCAAUAAAUUAAUUUUCUCUAUCCCAAGAUUGUCACAAAGGACAGCAAAUUUCUUCUUUCCAAUAGCAACAAAUAAGUGAUGCAGCUCCACCAAGCAAACAAGUCCGGCGGAAAAUUUGCAAACUAAUUUCAGAAAUUCGUGGCGAGAAAACUUUAAGCCUUUAUACCUACAACGAAGGCGUAAAAAAUACGACAGUGACAAAUGUAUAAAUUAAAUGUUUAUGUUGAAUCGGCUUGCUGCACCAAUUUUAUCCGUACGGCAAGAAAAUAGAAAAAAUCCUGUGCAUUCCAAAGCCUGAAAUAUUAUUAAAAGGGUCCCUGGUAUACUUAGACAAAAAAAAAGCUACCAGUGUGUGCUGUGUGCAUUUUUCCUUUGGGAAAUGCUGUACAGAACUAGCUGCUGUUGCAACCAGCAAAUCUACAGAAUUCAUAACUAAAUUUAGGUAAUGUGCUUGGUACAGUGACGGAUUUAAAUUUUUUGCGCCCCUACGCACACCGGCACCCCUCCAAAAAUAAUCUUAAAAUUGCAGUACAUUUUAAGAUGCUACUAAAAUUCACAUUAUAACUUGAAAUUUUUAAAACUAAUAUGAAAAGAAAUACAGUAUAGGUACCUAAGAUUAAGUUUUCACACACGUCAAAACUUGAAUUGUCGAUUAUAGUUCUUACAGUUACAGUUUCUUUAAACUAUCUACCAAUUCCAAUUUAUUUCAUAAUUUUAAUUAAAAUUUUUUGUUAUUUGUAACUUGUUAGGGGACUAAAACUUAAAAUAUUACCUAAAAUAAAUAUAGUGCAAAAAAUGCCACCCUCUAAAGCUGCCGCCCCUAGGCACGUGCCUAGUGUGCCUAUAUGUAAAUCCGCCACUGGCCACGAAGAUUCUCAAAUCAGUGAAGAGGAAAGUGACGACGAUACUGUUUAAUUAGUUAAUUUCCCGCAAACUGAACCUUAACCGCCUGGCCGCCAACGACACAUUGCAUAUUGAUUUGUAUCGAAUAAGUUUGUAUUUACAAUUAUUGAUUUAUUUAAUUUUGUAUUGCGAUAGGGAGUAAAGCUUUUUAUUUC